rnacentral:rRNA from 1 species
UACGAAGGUCCCGAGCGUUGUUCGGAAUCACUGGGCGUAAAGGGAGCGUAGGCGGCGCGGUAAGUCAGAUGUGAAAUCCCGGGGCUCAACCCCGGAACUGCAUCCGAUACUGCCGUGCUAGAGGACUGGAGAGGCAACUGGAAUUCUCGGUGUAGCAGUGAAAUGCGUGGAUAUCGAGAGGAACACUCGUGGCGAAAGCGAGUUGCUGGACAGUAUCUGACGCUGAGGCUCGAAGGCCAGGGGAGCAAACGGG